UUCCGUAGGUGAACCUGCCGAAGGAUCAUUA
rnacentral:rRNA from 1 species